GAUGAACGCUGGCGGCGUGCCUAAUACAUGCAAGUCGAGCGAACAGACCAGGAGCUUGCUCCUCUGACGUUAGCAGCGGACGGGUGAGUCACACGUGGAUAACCUACCUCUAAGACUGGGAUAACUUCGCGAAACCGGAGCUAAUACCGGAUAAUAUAUUGAACCGCAUGGUUCAAUAGUGAAAGACGGUUUUGCUGUCACUUAUAGAUGAAUCCGCGCCGCAUUAGCUAGUUGGUAAGGUAACGGCUUACCAAGGCAACGAUGGGUAGCCGACCUGAGAGCGUGGUCCGCCAGACUGGAAGUGAGAAACAGCCCCGACACCGGCGGGAGGCAGCAGUAGGGACUCUUCCGCGAGGGGGGAGAGCGUGACAGAGCAACGCCGCGUGAGGCAUGAUGGAGCUCGGAUCGGAGAGCGAUGUUGUUAGUGGAGUACAAAUGUGUAAUUAACUAUGCACGUAUUGACGGUACCUAGUCAGAAAGCCCCGGCUAACUACGUG
rnacentral:rRNA from 1 species